rnacentral:rRNA from 1 species
AUUGAACGCUGGCGGCAGGCCUAACACAUGCAAGUCGAGCGGAGCGGCGGACGGGUGAGUAAUGCAUAGGAAUCUGCCUGGUAGUGGGGGAUAACGUCCGGAAACGGGCGCUAAUACCGCAUACUAUCAGAUGAGCCUAGGGCGGCUUAGCUAGUUGGUGGGGUAAAGGCCUACCACGGCGAACAUCCGUAACUGGUCUGAGAGGAUGAGCAGCAACACGGGAACGGAGACACGGUCCAGACUCCGACGGGAGGCAGCAGUGGGGAAUAUUGGACAAUGGGCGAAAGCCUGAUCCAGCCAUGCCGCGUGUGUGAAGAAGGUCUUCGGAUUGUAAAGCACUUUAAGUUGGGAGGCGUUACCAACAGAAUAAGCACCGGCUAACUUCGUGCCAGCAGCCGCGGUAAUUC